rnacentral:lncRNA from 1 species
GAACUUGAUUAGAAAAGCAAACCAGUCUCCGCACGGUAACCCUGAAUCAAGUGUGAGGAACACUCUGUAGCCAAUAACAUAGGCUCAGGCGAGGAUCUCAGUGAAGUAGUAAUUAUUCGUGAUUGCAAUGGCGGGCGACCCACAAGCAGGAGCGCACCUACUACUUCCAUAACACAGUUUAUAUACUUUUUUUUCUCGAGGACCGGGACCCUCCCCUGUUUCCCCAUUGACUGGGUAAUCCAGGUUCACAAUCUAUCCGGUGCUUCACAGACAAUACAUGGCUUUCAGUUGCCGGCCUAUUAUCUUUCAAAUUUCUUUUGACUUUUACAGUCUUUGAGGUGGUAAUGUUUCUUACACAGUGAUUUCUGCCUAAUUGCUCUAAGGAUUCUGGUUGUCUGCAUUUUACAAGGUUGUCUGUUAAGCUUUCUUAUCACUGCAAGCAUAUCUCAAUACCACAUUCCUUCCCUCUAAACAAUGGAACUCUGUGCAAAAACAACAUUUUUAUUCCCACAAUUCCCCCCUUUUCUUCUUUAUAAAUUGUUGAUUUUUGCAGAACUUUUCUCUAAGGUGUAAUUUGGUAGAUAUCUUCCUCUUCUUCACUUUCUUUGCUUUCCAUCUCCUCUAAUAUCAUCAUCUUAUCUGAGUAGGGUGGUGGAUCCAUGGUCAUUUGUUUCAAUAGUGCAGUUUCAAUUAACCGUUGGACAAGUCCCCUUACACAGGGGAUAAUGCAACAACCAAUGGCUGUCAAAACUCCUGCUACUACGAUCAAGGAUGUAAAUAUGGACAUUACCAUCCCUUUCCAUUUACCAAAGAAAGAUUCCAACCAUCCUGUAAUGGAAGUGUCUGCUCCUGAGUUUUCUGCCAAUUCAUUGGCAAGGGUGGUAAACCCUUGCAAUGCUCUAGUUACUGUGCCAUCCAGGGCAGUAUUGUUGGGUAUAGAAGUACAGCAGUGGUUGCACAGCACCACACACAAACUGCCUUUCUCCGCGAGCGUCAUAUCUAAUGCUAUUCUGUUUUCCCAAGCCAUUUUGCUGGUGGCACCUAGUUGUUCAGCAGUUCCUCUUAUCACAUUCCUUGAAUAAUUUAUGAAUCUCUGCUG